rnacentral:rRNA from 1 species
UACGUAGGGUGCGAGCGUUAAUCGGAAUUACUGGGCGUAAAGCGUGCGCAGGCGGUUUUGUAAGUCAGAUGUGAAAUCCCCCGGGCUCAACCUGGGAACUGCGUUUGAAACUACAAGGCUAGAGUGUAGCAGAGGGGGGUAGAAUUCCACGUGUAGCAGUGAAAUGCGUAGAGAUGUGGAGGAACACCGAUGGCGAAGGCAGCCCCCUGGGUCAAGAUUGACGCUCAUGCACGAAAGCGUGGGGAGCAAACAGG